rnacentral:rRNA from 1 species
CCCAGGGCCACUCGGUUAUACCCUGGAGAGCACCGUAAAGAUUGGUUGUAGAUUAUAUUGCAAUUAAUCAAGUGAUAGGCAGGUCGCGAGGGGUAGUAUAAUUUGGUCAAAUGAUAAUACUAUUUUAUUUUGAGCGCGCCUGAUGUUGCAUUAUAGAAUGAAAUCCGAGGUAGAAACCGGGAUUAGAUACCCCGUUAUUUCGGGAUGAAUGUUUAUGGGGAGUAUCCUUUGAGGGAAACCCAAAAAACUUGGCGGCUCUUCAUUCAUAUUAGGGGAACCUGCUGCAUAAUUUGUCAGUACACAAAAUACCUUUCCCCCUUUCGUCGACUCGUGGUGGGCUGAGGUUAAGUUGGUAUAUCGCUGUGUAGCUUACUUCUGAGAAGUCAGGCAUAAAGGUUGAAGGACACAAAGCCAUAAUCACAAGUCAAGAUGCUACUUAAAAGGGGGUGUCCGUGGGUUACUAUGGCAGAUUUGCUGAGGAAGGCAUAGUACAAACACUGUGCACCGAAAGAGGACUUAAUAGUAAGAUAUAUAUUGACCAUGGAAAGAAAUCACGAGCUCUUAGAGAAUAUAACUGAAAUCAGCUCUGGGGAGUGCACAUAUCGCCCGUCAUUCUAGCUAGGCUUUUUACUAUGGGUUAAGUUAGAUAAGUCGUAACUAGGAAAGGGGUUU